rnacentral:tRNA from 1 species
GCGGAUAUGGCGGAACGGGUAGACGCGCAUGUUUGAGGGGCAUGUGAGAAAUUUUCUCUUAUGAGUUCGAAUCUCAUUAUCCGUACCA